rnacentral:rRNA from 1 species
CAGCAGCCACGGUAAUACGUAGGUGGCAAGCGUUGUCCGGAAUUAUUGGGCGUAAAGGGCUCGCAGGCGGUUUCUUAAGUCUGAUGUGAAAGCCCCCGGCUCAACCGGGGAGGGUCAUUGGAAGCUGGGAAACUUGAGUGCAGAAGAGGAGAGUGGAAUUCCACGUGUAGCGGUGAAAUGCGUAGAGAUGUGGAGGAACACCAGUGGCGAAGGCGACUCUCUGGUCUGUAACUGACGCUGAGGAGCGAAAGCGUGGGGAGCGAACAGGAUUAGAUACCCCCGUAGUCCCUGUCUCUUAUAC